rnacentral:rRNA from 1 species
GACGAACGCUGGCGGCGUGCUUAACACAUGCAAGUCGAGCGGUAAGGCCUCUUCGGGGGUACACGAGCGGCGAACGGGUGAGUAACACGUGGGUGACCUGCCCUCAGCUUCGGGAUAAGCCUGGGAAACUGGGUCUAAUACCGGAUAGGACUUCGCAUCGCAUGGUGUGGGGUGGAAAGUUCCUGGGCUCUUUGGAGUUUGGGUUCGGUUGGGGAUGGGCCCGCGGCCUAUCAGCUUGUUGGUGGGGUGAUGGCCUACCAAGGCGACGACGGGUAGCCGGCCUGAGAGGGCGACCGGCCACACUGGGACUGAGACACGGCCCAGACUCCUACGGGAGGCAGCAGUGGGGAAUAUUGCGCAAUGGGCGGAAGCCUGACGCAGCGACGCCGCGUGGGGAUGACGGCCU